rnacentral:lncRNA from 1 species
CUGUGCUUUGUAGAUUGUGUGAAAUAUGUGGAAAGACAGUGAACAUGACCAGCAAUUUGGAGGACACCUCAAUAUUCAUGAUGGAGUGGAAUGAGAUGAGACUGGUAGCAACAACUUUAGACACUUCUCGAGAAAGUUCUCGACAAUGUAAGAAGUCUUUAUGCAACUUUCUAAUGAAAUGCUCAGUACUAGCCCUUGUCUUGCCAUGGUUCUUUCGUGAUGUUAUUCUGUAGAGGAGCACUACAUUUGAUGUUGUGGUUGGUGGAGGAGUCACAGGUUGAUCUUUAUAAUAUCCCACAAAUGACAUCAGGAUGAGUUCUUUAAGGUUUUAUAUUCAACAACGUAGUAAUUUUCAUAUAUACAGAUAUUGCUUCUGAAGAAUUGUGAUCCAGCCUAAAUUGAGAAUGGUG